rnacentral:rRNA from 1 species
UACGUAGGGGGCAAGGCGUUGUCCGGAUUUAUUUGGGCGUAAAGAGCGUGUAGGCGGCUUGGCAAGUCUGCUGUGAAAACUCGAGGCUCAACCUCGAGCUGUCGGCGGAAACUGCUUGGCUAGAGUCCGGAAGAGGAGAGUGGAAUUCCUGGUGUAGCGGUGAAAUGCGGCAGAUAUCAGGAGGAACACCGGCGGUGUAGACGGCUUCUGGACCGUAGCUGACGCUGAGACACGAAAGCG